ACAAUGAAAUCCUAUAAAUAGAACCAAAAUUAAUUGGAAACCUACACACAUUUUUCGCCAAUAACAACUUAUUACACACUUAAACUCGAUCAUACCAAAGUUCGACAAAAAAUAUAAUGGCCAACAAGCAAAUCAAAUUAGCAGCGUUUUUCUUCCUCGCAGCAGUGAUGCUACAAAUGGUUUAUGUGGACGCGUGUCAAGGAGUGAAUAUGCCAUGUGCUAUAUCGGCAAACUGUUGUCAAUCACCACUCGAACUUGCAUGCUCAUUUGGAUUUUGCAAAAAUUGCGAGGAGCACGCGUUGCACUCUUGUACCCCUGGUGUACGUGAGUGUUGUCCUCACACAACACUCACGUGUGUUUCCAUUGGCGGAGAUAAGUACCAAUGCAAGCAACUUUGAUCGAACAAGUGUUUUCCGACCACCACAAUGAUGUAUUUCCCGAUCAUGCAUCUUCUGGCAUCACGAUGCACGGCGAUUGAUCGAUCAUUGUAUCAUUUGUAUGUUACUUUGUUUGUUGUUCCGUUUGAUCUGAUUUCGAUACCAUAUUAUGUUUGUUAAGAACUGUUUGAUACUUUGAUGCUUGCUUCCUUACCAUCUACCAGAACUGAGGCUAGUUGGGAAUUGAGAUGUUGUAUACUUGUAUAGUUGUAUACCAACAUCUAUAUAUAUAUAUGAAUAAAUAAUGAUAGACGACUUUUCCUUUGUUUUUGUA